AUUAAUGACUUAUAUCACCCUGCAGCCCAAGACUGGUUGCCCACUGAAGCUAAGCAGGGUUGAGCCUGGUCAGUACCUGGAUGGGAGACCUCCUGGGAAAACUAGGUUGCUGCUGGAA
rnacentral:rRNA from 1 species